rnacentral:ncRNA from 17 species
GAGAUUAAGGGAAGCGAUGAACUCCGGUUCGUAAGUGGUCACUUGAGCCGUGGGGAGUGAGUAGUGAACCCGACCUGAUCUA